UGAACAAUAGGAUUGAAAUUUUUCAGCCAAUUAAAAUUCCCCAAUCUCAAUAAGCAAACACAAAUACUUUAUAAUUGCGAAAACAACAACGACCCCACUUAAGAGAGAGAGAGAAAUGACAUGACGAUUAUUCUUAGGUACAAGACAAGCACUAAAUCAUAAUUACUGACGAAUGAUGAUGAUCCUGGAGGACCUUAUGUAUAUAUGACACAACUUGGCCUGUCAGGACGAUUUCUGGCAGGGCAAAGGGAGCUCACACAAAAGGAGCCAACAACUAUACGCCAUGAGUUUUCUUGGAACAACUGCAGAAAACAGAAGGGUCAGUGACAUACAAAGGCAAUCAGGUGAAUCCCUGGAGCCAACUUGGGAGAAACCUGCCAGAGUAGAAUUCCAACAAUUGAUGCAUAAAAAUUUAGCAUCACCAAGCAAAAGAAGACGACGUGGUAAGUUCAAGGCUAAAUAGCAAAGUUUCCAUUGCUAUUGACAGCCCACAAGGCUGCAAAGCACAAAUGUGUUGGCCCAUCCUUUCUUCUUGCUGGGGAUUGCUAAUGCUUCUAAUUAUAUCAGCUGGACGCUCUUGGAUAUUGCUUUCCAUCUCAACUUCAUUGCCGGUUGGGCUCUUUUAUCGGUUCCAUGGAUUGCUCACGAG
rnacentral:lncRNA from 1 species